UUGUCGUGGCACGUGCGGAAGAGAGUGAAGUUUAUUUUCAUCCGCUCGUGGUGAAGAGUGCCAGGGUACAAUGCAACGAAGAGACACCAGGCGCUGGAUCUCUCAACGGCAGAGUUUUAUGUCCAGGAAGAGACACGCGGAUAUUUCAAGAGUGGCUCGUAGCGAUUUAUGGCGUCAAGUUUAAUAGAGAGAGAGAGAGAGAGAACCACAAGGUGAACUAAGUUUCACAAUUUCAGAGUCUAUUUUCUUUUUAAUUUCACAGAGGCAAGAAUACUAGGAAGAUGAAUCGUAACAAGCGUGUUAUUAAGAAGAUAUAACCAACGUACUGUAAUAAUUCAAAUUUGAUUAUUAUCGAUUUAGAGUUUGAAACGUUGAAUCGAAGAUUCAAAGAGUGUUUGG
rnacentral:misc_RNA from 1 species